CCUACGGGAGGCUGCAGUGGGGAAUAUUGGACAAUGGGCGAAAGCCUGAUCCAGCCAUGCCGCGUGUGUGAAGAAGGCCUUCGGGUUGUAAAGCACUUUCAGUGGGGAAGAAAGCCUUGGGGCUAAUACCCUCGAGGAAGGACAUCACCCACAGAAGAAGCACCGGCUAACUCCGUGCCAGCAGCCGCGGUAAUACGGAGGGUGCGAGCGUUAAUCGGAAUUACUGGGCGUAAAGCGCGCGUAGGCGGUCUGAUAAGCCGGUUGUGAAAGCCCCGGGCUCAACCUGGGAACGGCAUCCGGAACUGUCAGGCUAGAGUGCAGGGGAGGAAGGUAGAAUUCCCGGUGUAGCGGUGAAAUGCGUAGAGAUCGGGAGGAAUACCAGUGGCGAAGGCGGCCUUCUGGACUGACACUGAGGCUGAGGUGCGAAAGCGUGGGUAGCAAACAGGAUUAGAUACCCUGUAGUC
rnacentral:rRNA from 1 species